rnacentral:rRNA from 1 species
GAUGAACGCUAGCUACAGGCUUAACACAUGCAAGUCGAGGGGCAGCAUUCUGAUAGCUUGCUAUCAGUGAUGGCGACCGGCGCACGGGUGAGUAACGCGUAUCCAACCUGCCUGUCACUCAGGAAUAGCCCGGUGAAAACCGGAUUAAGUCCUGAUGAUAUCAUUAGAGGGCAUCUGACGAUGAUUAAAGAUCCGUCGCUUGCGGAUGGGGAUGCGUCUGAUUAGUUAGUCGGCGGGGUAACGGCCCACCGAGACGACGAUCAGUAGGGGUUCUGAGAGGAAAGUCCCCCCACAUUGGAACUGAGACACGGUCCAAACUCCUACGGGAGGCAGCAGUGAGGAAUAUUGGUCAAUGGGCGGAAGCCUGAACCAGCCAAGUAGCGUGCAGGACGACGGCCCUAUGGGUUGUAAACUGCUUUUAUGCGGGGAUAAAGUGGGCCACGCGUGGCCUUUUGCAGGUACCGCAUGAAU